CCUACGGGUUGCUGCAGUCGAGAAUCAUUCACAAUGGGGGAAACCCUGAUGGUGCGACGCCGCGUGGGGGAAUGAAGGUCUUCGGAUUGUAAACCCCUGUCAUGUGGGAGCAAAUUAAAAAGAUAGUACCACAAUAGGAAGAGACGGCUAACUCUGUGCCAGCAGCCGCGGUAAUACAGAGGGCUCAAGAGUUGUUCGGAAUCACUGGGCGUAAAGGGCGCGUAGGCUGUUUCGUAAGUCGUGUGUGAAAGGCGCGGGCUCAACCCGCGGACCGCACAUGAUACUGCGAGACUAGAGUACUGGAGGGGGAAGCGGAAUUCGCGGUGUAGCAGUGAAAUGCGUAGAUAGCGAGAGGAACACUCGUGGCGAAGGCGGGUUCCUGGACAUUAACUGACGCUGAGGCACGAAGGCCAGGGGAGCGAAAGGGAUUAGAUACCCGGGUAGUC
rnacentral:rRNA from 1 species